rnacentral:tRNA from 1 species
GCCUCUGUGGUGUAGUUGGUUAUCACGUGAGUCUCAUAUUCAUAAAAUAUGAUCAGGUAGCAAUAACUAUCAGAGCGAUCUCAAGGCCGCCAGUUCGAUCCUGGCCGGGGGCA